CCAUAUGACCCACAAUUUCACUCCUGGGUAUAUAUCAGAAAAAAACAAAAACACUAAUUCAAUAAGAUGCACACACCCCAGUGUUCACAUCAGCAUUAUUUACAAUUGCCAAGAUAUUGAAGCAAUCUAAGUGUCCAUCAGCAGAUGAACAGAUAAAAAGUGGUACAGAUAUACAGUGGAAUACUACUCAGCCAUAAAAAAGAAUGAAAUUUUGCCAUUUUUAGCAACAUGGAUGGACUUGGAGGGCAUCAUGCUAAGUGAAAUAUGUCAGAAAAAGAAAGCAAUACUGCAUGAUAUCAUUUAUAUGUGGAGUCUAAAAAAUAUACUAGUGAAUGUAACAAAAAAGAAGCAGACUCACAGAUGUAGAGAACAACCUAGUGGUUACCAGUGGGGGUUGGAUGGGAGGGGCAAUAUAGGGGUGGAGGAGUGGGAGGUACAAACUCUUGUGUUUAAAAUAGGCUCAAGAGACUUCCCUGGUGGUGCAGUGGUUAAGAAUCUGCCUGCCAAUGAAGGGGACAUGGGUUUGAGCUCUGGCCCGGGAAGAUCCCACAUGCCGCAGAGCAACUAAGCCCAUGUGCCACAACUACUGAGCCUGUGCUCUAGAGCCCGUGAGCCACAACUACUGAGCCCAUGUGCCACAACUACUAAAGCUCGUGUGCCUAGAGCCCAUGUUCUGCAACAGAGAAGCCACCACAAUGAGAAACCUGUGCAUUGCAACGAAGAGUAGCCCCCGCUUGCUGCAACUAGAGAAAGCCCACAUGCAGCAACGAAGACCCCACGCAGCCAAAAAAUAAAUUAAUUAAAAAAAAAUAAAUAAAAUGGUAAAUUUUUAAUAAAUAAAUAAAAUAGGCUCAAGGAUGUAUUGUACAACACAGGAAAUAUAGCCAAUAUUUUGUAAUAACUAUAAAUGCAAAGGAAGCCCUAAAAAUUGUAUAAUUUUUUUAAUAAAUUCACUGAAAACCAGAAUUUCAUAUUAACACAAUGGUGCUUUGCCCUAUUCUCCUUUCUUAAAAUCUUGUAUUUCAAGAAACAACACUAUUUUUCCAUGACAAUGGGCUUGUCACUUAAAUUAAGGACCUUUUCCUGAACUGCCUCUGAUUAUUCUCUGGUUACCUCUCACCUUCCACAGUCCCAAACCUUCCUAUUGGGAUAAUGGUCUUCGCAGCCUCAUUUGCCCAGAGAAGCCCUUCACUUCACCUUCCAAAUUUACUCAUACUCACCUUUCUUAAUUUUCUUUUCUCCUCCUCUUUCACUCCCUGCUACCCUCACUCAAGGACACCUGAAAGAAAAAAAAAAGAAAGAGUUCAGCUUGAAAUGUACAUUGAGAUCUCAUCCAUAUUCUAUACCAAUUUCCAGACCAUAAAACUCCUUAUUGUAUAAAGUGUUCUGUGAUAAUGCCUGAAAUAGUCCCUUUUACCUUGUGCUUAAAAUAAAACACACCUUAGAUGUACUUUGUAAAGCAGCAGCAUGCAACAACAGAAGACAAAGAGGCCAAAAGAGGGGUCUCUUUUCUCUUCCCCUUUUGUUAAUGAACACACAGAUUCUUUUCACUGCAAACACCUAGGAGAGAAGACUAGCUUAGGGAUUUGGUAAGGUUGGCAUCUGGAAAGUGAGGGGACUGAGGGAGCGCUGAUCACCCUUCUUAUUAUUCAGAGUACGCCGGAAUGUGGAGCCGACUACAACUGACGCCCAAAUCACAUCGUUGAUGGCAAAGAUGACUUCUCGUCCCCAGAGUCACAUUUCUAGGCUACGGUCUUCCACUGUGACUAACAGCCGCCCCAGCAAUGCCUGCACCUCAGGGCCAUCACUCCUCCUGCCCCCAUCAUGGCUGCACAGGGUAGACACGGAGUAAGGAAUCGUUGAAUAUGCCCAAACGAGGCUGAUUUCACCCAUUCAGUCUGCAAAGUCCACUCCCCUGACUCUGAUGACGACCAAUUUCCAUUUACCCUUUGUGGCCUGCAUUUGGGCAGCAGGCAACUCCUGGCUGUGCAGACUCAAAUUAGCACACUCACUACACCGCAUGACUCGGCAGCCAAGAACUUUCCCAUCUGAAAUUCAUUAAUCUUCCCCACAUCCCCGUGAGGUAAGCAGGUGUGUUCACCUGCAGGUUAUAAGGAGGAAAUUGGGGAUGAGGAGGUUAGGAGCUGUGCCAUGGGUUAUUAAGGGUGUCUGCCGGGGAUGAAGUCAUUCUGUAGUCAUCCCCGUUCAGUCUCCACCUGCUCCGGAUCCAGGCCUCCACACACACACACCCCCCACCCCCUGCUUUGACCACCUUAUCAUUCUCUGGGCUUUUGUGAAGGCGCAGAGUCCCAGCAGAUACAUGCAUUUCAAAAGGAUAAAAGGUAUUAUGAUUUGCCCCUGCUAAAUACUUCAGAUGUCUCUCCCACGAUAACUCGUACCAGAAGUCCUCUCUCUCAGACCUUUUCCAGUAAAGGUAUCUUGUUAGCUAGAACUAAUACUGUCUCCUGGAAAGAGGGCUCAGAAUAAUACAGCUUCAUCCUUUGCCUGGGAAAGGCCUCGUAAGGUUCACUCUCGCACCUUCAGAGGCACAAACCAGCACCCAGGCAGCCCUGGAGUUCAGGGUUAUUGGCUGCCCAGGCCUGUGAACUGCCCGGAGCACAGUGAUGGCACAGCGCCUCCACACACUUCAUCUGGGCCCUCUCGGCUCUGCAGCAUGAUUUGCGUCUCUGAUUGGUUCCCUAGGGCAGGUACACAGCCAGCGCUGCAACUUUCUCUACUGUAGGCCUUUCUGACUUAGCCAAAGAGAACCAGGAUUGGCUACUUCCAAGGGAGAAGCACACUUCAACCACCAAAACUAUGUCCUUUAUCCUUUGCUGGUUCUGCUUUCUCCUCCCACCUCCAGAUGAGGACCUGCCCCAGGUUUCAAACUUUUAUGUUAUUACUAUUUACUUUCCUAUAGUGUUAUUACUCUUACUUUCCUUAGGGACCACAUUUAUGCUCACACAUUCUACUCCCACUCCUUGCUGAUUUCUAAAUCACCAGAUCUGACGAGGCUGGACUAUAAACUAUAAUUUUCUGCCAUUUUUAAAUAGCAUAAAUUGGAGUAGAUGACUUACUAUUUCAUUUAGGGAAUGACUAGUCCUGAAAGACAUUAAAACAUUCUCUAAUGCCACAGUAAAUAAAACAGUAUAGUAGUAACAUUUGAGUAGACAGACAAAUGGAACAAUAGAAGGUCUGGAAAUAGACUCAAAUACACAUGGGAAUUUGUUAUACGGUAAAGGUGGCAUCUCAAACCAGUAAGGUAAGAAUACACUUUAAGAAGCUGAGUUGGGACAACUGGGUAGCCAGGAAAAAAAUAAGGUUAGUACACACCUCAUACUAUACACAUAGAAAACAAAGCCAUAAAAGUUCCAGAAAAGAAAAUGUGAACACAGAAUAGUAUUGGAUAAUCUUAAGGAAUUAUUGGUAUAAUAAUGUUAUAGAAGUUAUGUUCUAAAAAGUUCUUACAUGUUAUUGAUAUAUAUUGAUAUAAAGAAAAUAUAAUGUCUGGGGUUUGCUUCAAAUAUUCUCAAAAUGGAUGGGAGGAUAAGAUAAAACAAGAUUGGCAAAAUACCCCAAUUGUUGAAGCUGGAUGACAUGUAAUUGAGGUUUAUUAUACUAUUUUCUAAUUUGUGUAUGCUUAAAAUUUUCUGUAAUAAAAUGGGUUCUUAAAAAUACAAGAAAAUUCCCGUGCCACAACUACUGAGCCUGCACUCUAGAGCCCGUAAGCCACACCUACUGAAGCCUGCAUGCCUAGAGCCCGUGCUCUGCAACAAGAAAAGCCACCGCAAUGAGAAGCCUGUGCACCGCAAUGAAGAGUAGCCCCCGUUCGCCGCAACUAGAGAAAGCUCGUGUGCAGCAACAAAGACCCAACGCAGCCAAAAAUGAAAUUAAAAAAAACAACAAGGUCCUACUGUAUAGCACAGGGAACUAUCUUCAAUAUCCUGUGAUGAUAAACCCAUAAUGGAAAAGAAUAUGAAAAAGAAUGUAUAUAUAUGUAUAACUGAAUCACUUUGCUGUACAGCAGAAAUUAACACAACAUUGUAAA